rnacentral:snRNA from 1 species
AGCUCUGCACAGUAGCAGUAUCUUAGCCAGUGAGGUUUAUCUGAGGCGCAAUUAUUGCUAAUUGAAAAGAAAAAAAAAAACAAACAAUAGCCCAUCCCACGUUGUUCUUCAGGCUUAAAUUACCUGAAAGGUAAUAUAGUGAUUUAAACCUAAA